rnacentral:rRNA from 1 species
AGCCAGACUCCUACGGGAGGCAGCAGUGGGGAAUAUUGCACAAUGGGGGAAACCCUGAUGCAGCGACGCCGCGUGAGUGAAGAAGUAUUUCGGUAUGUAAAGCUCUAUCAGCAGGGAAGAAAAUGACGGUACCUGAUUAAGAAGCCCCGGCUAACUACGUGCCAGCAGCCGCGGUAAUACGUAGGGGGCAAGCGUUAUCCGGAUUUACUGGGUGUAAAGGGAGCGUAGACGGUGAUGCAAGUCAGAAGUGAAAGCCCGGGGCUCAACUCCGGGACUGCUUUUGAAACUGUGUGACUGGAGUGCAGGAGAGGUAAGCGGAAUUCCUGGUGUAGCGGUGAAAUGCGUAGAUAUCAGGAGGAACACCAGUGGCGAAGGCGGCUUACUGGACUGUAACUGACGUUGAGGCUCGAAAGCGUGGGGAGCAAACAGGAUUAGAUACCCUAGUA